rnacentral:other from 1 species
AAAGUCCUGCUAUGCUCGUGAUGGUGUUCGAUUUUGAACCACAGUAAUCCAUACGGGAUGGCGAGUCCGCAUCGCGGAUGUCAGGCCUCAUAACUUCGGAGGAAGGCAGAAGGGAUCGGCAGCCUUGACCCACCCUGCACAUGCAGGUUUAUAAAAUGGCACCACACGGCAUCGUGGGAUUUUC